AGAAAUAGGUAGAUCAAGUAAAAGCUGCUAACUUUUAACUUUAGCGGUUUAAUUCCGUUUAUAUUUCUA
rnacentral:tRNA from 1 species